rnacentral:rRNA from 1 species
UACAGAGGAGCCAAGCGUUGUCCGGAUUGACUGGGCGUAAAGCGCACGCAGGCGGCUGCGCGCGUGGGGUGUGAAAUCUGGCCGCUUAACGGCCAGGCGCCAUCCCAUACGGCACGACUGGAGUGAUGCAGAGGUCGAUGGAAUUGCCGGUGUAGUGGUGAAAUGCGUAGAGAUCGGCAGGAACACCCAGGGGGAAACCAGUCGACUGGGCAUCUACUGACGCUGAGGUGCGAGAGCGUGGGGAGCGAACCGG